GCGAGGAAACCCGCUGAACUUAAGCAUAUCACUAAGCGGAGGAAAAGAAACCAAUUUGGAUGCCCCUAGUAAUGGCGAGUGAAAAU
rnacentral:rRNA from 1 species